ACAUUCAUCACGGCAUGCUUCUGCUAAUUUCCCAGCAAGUAAUUGACAACAUUUUCAAGGGAACUUCGUGAAGCUCACUGCAGGUCAACACUCCAGGUCGUUUCUUUCAUGCACAUUAUCUUCCUGAGACAAGACCUGGAUUAAUCUCUUCUUUAGAAUGACAGAGCAGCUGCAACAUGUGCCCGGUUCCAGAUACAGGAGGAGAAGCCCAACCUCACCGAAAUCAAUGGGAGGUUUGCUAUCAGCUUCAGUGGGCUCAGCGUUGGCUCUGCCCUCGGUUCGAAGGAUUAUGUGAAACUUUGUGUUUUUCUUCCAAAAUUCUGUGUCAAAGGGGUUCUUUGUUUAAGGCAUAACCUGAGUUGUCUGUCAAGCAUGGGCCCCGAUCCAGCAAAGCACUUAAGCACAUGUGUAGCUUUGUUGAAACCAACGGGACUACCGCUUGCAUGCUUAAAGUCACGCGUGUGUUUAAGUGCUUUGCCGGCCUGAAGCCUUGCAGAAGUCCUUUAUAUCAUGUUGAUUUCAAAGCGCAUUUAGUUAUUACAUCACCAUGCUGUUCUUGGCAGGGAAUGAAUUAAUAAAUGAGACAAGGAGAGGUCCGGCAGGAGCUGCCGGGGGAGUGGGACACCACAUUCCUUUCAAAACAAGGCCGUGGCAAUAAGUUUUCGGGAGACGCAAAUCAGCCACAUAGGCAGUUGUAAAUAACGGGCUGGGUGACAUACUGCUGCCCCGUGUCUAUUGCGAGAACGUAUUGAUACUGUGCGCUUUGUGUUUUUAAUCUUUCCACAGACUUGGUUUCCACACGCCCUCCGAGGCCAGUGGGAGUCUGGUCUGUGGGAGAACUAACUGGCUCUUGCUCUCCGCAUGGGAUUUUUGUGCUAUUUCUGUAUGGCUGAAGAACAGUGCCGUUGCUUAUACCACAGUACUGGCAUGCAAAUGCUAUACAGAUGCAUUAAAGCCAAAUUGCCUGCCUGAGUAGUAAGCACAGGGGUGAGUGGAGAGAUGCUUACACUCUCACAUGAGCUGAGCUCUCCCAGAAAGAUGCUUUGUGGCAUUCAGGACGUGGUGGCUGUCCCUGUGCUGCUGUUGUGAUGGUGGGGGAUGCCUGCUUAGGAAAGAAGUAGCUGAAUGGAAAGGAAAGAGCACCUUGGGAACAGGGCAGGAAAAGGCUGGCAGGUGUAAAGGGGAAGAAGAGGAGGAAGGAAGUAACAAAUGAUUAGCAGGUGAAGGCAAUGUCCCAUGAACAGCUGAAGCUCCCUGUUGGGACCUCUCACCAGGGUAGGAUGCAAGCAAGGGAAGGGGGGAUUCAGCCACGCUUGGCCAUGACAGCAAGAACAUGUCUGGAAAAGGGUGCCAGUGGGGGAAAUCUGGGAAUGGAAAUUUGGGACCACAGAGAUUCUGGCCUGUUGUUAUUUGCAAAAGACAUCAGUUUUCCCUUCGGUCUGCUGUAAUUGAGUUAACUAAGAUUUAUA